rnacentral:misc_RNA from 1 species
GUUCAAACUGUCAGUGUUUAGAAACAAGACUAGUUUAAACAGCUUCAUCGGUUAGUGGUUCGCGUGGACCUGAGGUAUAAACUCGGAGUAAUGUAAUUAAGAAGCUUACCACUGGCUCGCUUCAGAUUUCCCAAUUGACGCUGAAAUUUUCAAACUGCUACGACGACUGGAGAGCCUGGUAUAUUCGGCCGAGCCGAAAGUCCGA